rnacentral:rRNA from 1 species
GACGAACGCUGGCGGCGUGCUUAACACAUGCAAGUCGAACGGAAAGGCCCUGCUUUUGUGGGGUGCUCGAGUGGCGAACGGGUGAGUAACACGUGAGUAACCUGCCCUUGACUUUGGGAUAACUUCAGGAAACUGGGGCUAAUACCGGAUAGGAGCUCCUGCUGCAUGGUGGGGGUUGGAAAGUUUCGGCGGUUGGGGAUGGACUCGCGGCUUAUCAGCUUGUUGGUGGGGUAGUGGCUUACCAAGGCUUUGACGGGUAGCCGGCCUGAGAGGGUGACCGGCCACAUUGGGACUGAGAUACGGCCCAGACUCCUACGGGAGGCAGCAGUGGAGAAUAUUGCACAAUGGGCGGAAGCCUGAUGCAGCAACGCCGCGUGCGGGAUGCCGGCCUUCGGGUUGUAAACCGCUUUCGCCUGUGACGAAGCGUGAGUGACGGUAAUGGGUAAAGAAGCACCGGCUAACUACGUG